UACGGAGGGUGCUAGCGUUGUUCGGAAUCACUGGGCGUAAAGCGCGUGUAGGCGGUCCGUUAAGUCUGAUGUGAAAGCCCGGGGCUCACCCCCGGAAGUGCAUUGGAAACUGACGAACUCGAGUCCCGGAGAGGAGGGUGGAAUUCCUGGUGUAGCGGUGAAAUGCGUAGAUAUCUGGAGGAACACCGGUGGCGAAAGCGGCUCACUGGAUCGAUACUGACGCUGAGGUGCGAAAGCUAGGGUAGCAAACGGG
rnacentral:rRNA from 1 species